CACCUGCGCGCCCCAUCUCUUCAGGUCCAGCGCCGCCUACCCCCAUUUCGCCAUUUUUACCGGCGCGCCCGCCCCGAGGCGCAGAGGUAGGGCGAACGGUGGCCGCAGCUCCUUUCUCCCGGCUCAGCCGCCGGCCAGCAGCCGCGACGGAACCUCGGCCCACGUGACGCGGGCGCGCGCUUAUGGAACUGACGGUGGAGUUCCGCGAAGAAGGCGCUGCAGAGAAUUCGCAAACACCAACUGUAACCAGAGCAGCUAGGGGCGCGGCGGCGAGAGAAGCUGCGAAGCGCAUGCGCGCAGGACGCUGCGGGAGGGGAAAGGAGGGGAGGAGCGUGGAGCGUUCGCCUAGUUCCCGCGUUGCGGGGCGCACACGAGACUUGGCGACUCGCAGCCUCAGGGUUGCGUGCCUCCAGUCCUAGCCUGCGCAGGCGGCCUGAGCUUGGGGCUCUGCUACGCCACCCACGCCCACCUUGGCGGAGGGCGGGGCCCCACGGCUCUCAAACUUGCGCGCCAAAGACGGAGCCACCUGGCGUACUGGUGGAAAGCGCAGUCUUCAGAGCCACAUCCGUAGUUAGGUAUUCGGACUCUGAGAUUCUAGGGUGGGGCCCAGGCCAUCCGCGUUUUCACCCAGCAUCGUGUGAUUCGGCAGCAGGUGGUCUGUGGCCCGCACUUUGAGAAACCCUGGUGCAGAAGGUUCAUGGUUAGUGGUUCUCUCUGGAAGGAACAGUCUAAGGUUUGUAGGACUUGCGUUCCACCUACCAAAGCUAAUCGAGUUAGAAGGCUCCAGACUGUGAAGCCUGAGGUGUCAUUUCUCAUUACGGUGGUGAGAGGACGGGACCACACACUGUGAAGUCUUCGUUCCCACAUCCCACACUUCAUUCUUGCUGCCUAAGUUGUCGCCGUGGGACUAUUGAAAGGGUAUCAGCGAUAUUCAUCUUUCCUAUAAAUAGGAUCUGCUUUCUACAAUUUCCUGCCAGAUGUGUAAAGAUUGCAAGAAUUGAAGGUAUUUCUUCAACUGAAGACCUUUACAGAUACUCAGAUGACUGAAAUCCUCUAUCACUGGCUGUACAUGGUGGCUCACGCCUGUAAUCCCAGCACUUUGGGAGGCCGAGGCAGAUGCAUCAUCUGAGGUCAGGAGUUCGAGACCAUCCUAGCCAACAUGGUGAAACCCUGUGUCUACUAAAACCACAAAAAAUUAGCUGGGCAUUGUGGCAGGCGCCUGUAAUCCCAGCUAUUCCGGAGGCUGAGGCAGGAGAAUCACUUGAACCCGGGAGGUGGAGGUUGCAGUGAGCCGAGAUGGUGCCAUUGCACUCCAGCCUGGGCAGCAAGAGUGAAACUCCAUCUCA
rnacentral:antisense_RNA from 1 species